rnacentral:tRNA from 2 species
GGCUCUGUGGUCAAGCGGUUAAGACUCAGCCCUCUCACGGCUGCUACCCGGGUUCGAAUCCCGGCAGAGUCACCA